rnacentral:rRNA from 1 species
CAGCAGCCACGGGAAUACGGAGGGUGCAAGCGUUAAUCGGAAUUACUGGGCGUAAAGCGCACGCAGGCGGUCUGACAAGUCAGAUGUGAAAUCCCCGGGCUUAACCUGGGAACUGCAUUUGAAACUGUCAGGCUGGAGUCUUGUAGAGGGGGGUGGAAUUCCAGGUGUAGCGGUGAAAUGCGUAGAGAUCUGAAGGAAUACCGGUGGCGAAGGCGGCCCCCUGGACAAAGACUGACGCUCAGGUGCGAAAGCGUGGGGAGCAAACAGGAUUAGAUACCCCGGUAGUCCCUGUCUCUUAUAC